rnacentral:piRNA from 1 species
AAGCCACUGAUGCAGAGCGUUAAUUCUCACU